rnacentral:rRNA from 1 species
AUUGAACGCUGGCGGCAUGCUUUACACAUGCAAGUCGAACGGUAACAGGCCGCAAGGUGCUGACGAGUGGCGAACGGGUGAGUAAUGCAUCGGAACGUGCCCAGUCGUGGGGGAUAACGCAGCGAAAGCUGUGCUAAUACCGCAUACGAUCUAUGGAUGAAAGCGGGGGACCGUAAGGCCUCGCGCGAUUGGAGCGGCCGAUGUCAGAUUAGGUGGUUGGGGGGGUAAAGGCCUACCAAGCCGACGAUCUGUAGCGGGUCUGAGAGGACGACCAGCCACACUGGGACUGAGACACGGCCCAGACUCCUACGGGAGGCAGCCGUGGGGAAUUUUGGACAAUGGGCGCAAGUCUGAUCCAGCAAUGCCGCGCGCAGGAAGAAGGCCUUCGGGUUGUAAACUGCUUUUGUACGGAACGAAACGGUCUGGGUUAAUACCCUGGGCUAAUGACGGUACCGUAAGAAUAAGCACCGGCUAACUACGUGCCAGCAGCCGCGGUAAGAC